UACGUAGGGCGCAAGCGUUGUCCGGAAUUAUUGGGCGUAAAGAGCUCGUAGGUGGUUUGUCGCGUCUGCCCGUGAAAGCCCGGGGCUUAACUCCGGGUCUGCGGUGGAUACGGGGCAGACUAGAGGCAGGUAGGGGAGAACGGAAUUCCCGGUGUAGCGGUGAAAUGCGCAGAUAUCGGGAGGAACACCGAUGGCGAAGGCAGCUCGCUGGGACGGUACUGACGCUGAGACGCGAAAGCGUGGGGAGCAAACAGGG
rnacentral:rRNA from 1 species